rnacentral:rRNA from 1 species
UACGUAGGGGGCAAGCGUUGUCCGGAUUUAUUGGGCGUAAAGAGCGUGUAGGCGGUUUGGUAGGUCCGCUGUGAAAACUCGAGCUCAACCUCGAGACGCCGGUGGAAACCAUCAGACUAGAGUCCGGAAGAGGAGAGUGGAAUUCCUGGUGUAGCGGUGGAAUGCGCAGAUAUCAGGAGGAACACCAAUAGCGAAGGCAGCUCGCUGGGACGUUUACUGACACUGAGGCGCGAAAGCGUGGGGAGCGAACAGG